UGGGAUGUAGCUCAGUUGGUAGAGCAGGUAGCUGUUAACUAUCAGGUCGUAGGUUCGAGCCCUACCGUCCCAG
rnacentral:tRNA from 1 species